UGGCAUACCUCUUCAGUUAUGCGUCAUGACUUGUAUCGUCUUGAGCGUAUUGUGGGUUUCCUGUGUUGCAUACCUUUCUAAUGGUAUCGUGUUGAUUGAUCGAAGUCCCUUUUCAUCUUGUGUUGCUUUUUGCGACGCAUGAUGAACCUCGAGGCGGUCUCUAUGUUCCACCAUGUUGAUGCUAGCGUUUUGAUGUUGUGGCCCAUUGAGUGUUGCUUGGUUUCGUGGAUACAGAACAUGAUUUGGGCAUAGGGUUACUUGUGACUCUUGUUUUGUCCUUUAUCAGUGUUCUUUAUAACGACGGUUCAUGCGCGCCUAGGCUCGUACCUGCGCGAUGUUCUUUGUCGAAGAGGAAUGC
rnacentral:misc_RNA from 1 species